ACAGAUCAGAUGGUGGUUGUUUACCUUUUUACUCACAGAUUUACUUCGAGGCAAGUGCAAGUACACCGCGCAUAAACGUGAUAAGAUAAGAAGUAAAAUAAAACGAACGGUAAAUACCAUCGGUUUAUGAACAGAGAAGGAAUUCAACUUAUUCAUCCUCAGUAGAAGCAAUUCAUAUGAAGAAGAAAAACAAUGCAAUCGAUUUUCUUCUGUCUUCUCACAAAUUAUGUUUGAUUGAGCGGACAAGAUAAUGCGCCACCUUUUGCAGCGUGGUGUAAUAUUUGCUUCUUUUGAGCAACACAAAUCAGACUAAACCAGAUACAAAUCGAAUCCUCAUCCCGUAUUUGAUCACACAUCUCUGCAAUAUGGAUGAUCAAAGUGAUCAUGAUAUGCACGAAAAGCGAAUCAAACGUAAAUUUGCAGUAAAAAUCAGAGGCGCAAUUACAGCAGGACUAUUGCUGAUGCUGUUGCUGAUGAAAAUAGCAGCUGUCGUGUUUUAUUACUGUUUUGACUCAAACUCUGAUUGGUUUGAAGAUGACAAUUCCUAUAAAACUGUGAUAGUGUGCGUUAUUAUUAUCGCUAUUUUAAUAAUCGGCGUUUCAACUACUGGUUUUGUGAUUCACCUACGAGAGAAAAGAGGGACAGCUUUGACACGGCUGAAAAGAGUCCAGCAAAUUGACCUUGCCGAUCUUGGGAGUGACUGCAACGAAUAAUCAAUACCAAAAAUGGAAAUUAUAAUUUAACUUUAUACGUAAAAAUUGUGUGUAAAAAAAUGGAAAAAUUAAAAAGCUGUAAAAAGAAUUAAAAUAAUAUUGUAAUAAAAUGAUAUAUUCUUUGUACCCAAAUUU